CAAAGGGGUGCCCGUCGUCGUGACGAGCUGAGAUUAUACCCUCCGAACCUGACACGGCUAACACCGGCGAAGGGAUUGUUG
rnacentral:ncRNA from 1 species